rnacentral:rRNA from 1 species
CGCUGGCGGCAUGCCUAACACAUGCAAGUCGAACGGAGUUUCUUAAAUGGAUCCCUUCGGGGUGAAGCUUUUGAAACUUAGUGGCGGACGGGUGAGUAACGCGUGGGUAACCUGCCCUUUUGUGGGGAACAACGUUCGAGAAAUCGGAGCUAAUACCGCAUAUACUUACGGAAUCGCAUGAUUCUGUAAGGAAAGAUGGCCUCUGAAAAUGCUAUCGCAAAAGGAUGGACCCGCGUCUGAUUAGCUAGUUGGUGAGGUAACGGCUCACCAAGGCGACGAUCAGUAGCCGGCCUGAGAGGGUGAACGGCCACAUUGGGACUGAGACACGGCCCAAACUCCUACGGGAGGCAGCAGUGGGGAAUCUUCCGCAAUGGGCGAAAGCCUGACGGAGCAAUGCCGCGUGAGUGAAGGAGGCCUUCGGGUUGUAAAACUCUGUCCUUAUUGAAGAGAGGUAGCAGUGUGAAUAAUGCUGUUAUAGGACGGUAAAUAAGGAGGAAGCCCCGGCUAACUACGUG